AAGUCGUAACAAGGUUUCCGUAGGUGAACCUGCGGAAGGAUCAUUAUUGGAUUCGGGAUCCCGAGCUCGCUCGGACCCGCAAACACAAUCAAUAACCUUUUGUGAACCUGUCGGCCCUCGGGCCUUCACCUCCAAACAUCUGUGUGUGGUUGAACGUAGCAUAAACAAAACAAAAACACAACUUUCAACAAUGGAUCUCUUGGCUCUC
rnacentral:misc_RNA from 1 species